rnacentral:rRNA from 1 species
UAUGUAGGGGGCAAGCGUUGUCCGGAAUCAUUGGGCGUAAAGAGCGUGUAGGCGGCUCGGUAAGUCCGCUGUGAAAGUCCAGGGCUCAACCCUGGAAUGCCGGUGGAAACUGUCGAGCUAGAGUCCGGAAGAGGCGAGUGGAAUUCCUGGUGUAGCGGUGAAAUGCGUAGAGAUCAUGAGGAAGACCAGUGGCGAAGGCGGGUCUCUGGACAGUACCUGACACUGAGACACGAAGGCCAGGGGAGCAAACGGG